AUUUAUAUAAUAUAAAAAUUAUAUUUAACUUCCAAUUAAAAAAUCUAGAAUUUUCUAGUAUAAAUA
rnacentral:tRNA from 1 species